UACGGGGGGAGCAAGCGUUGUUCGGAUUUACUGGGCGUAAAGGGCGCGUAGGCGGCCUGACAAGUCAGUUGUGAAAUCUCCGGGCUUAACUCGGAACGGUCAAUUGAUACUGUCGCGCUAGAGUGCGGAAGGGGCAAUCAGAAUUCUUGGUGUAGCGGUGAAAUGCGUAGAUAUCGGGAGGAACACCGGUGGCGAAGGCGGUUCUCUGGGCCUUACCUGACGCUGAGGAGCGAAAGCGUGGGGAGCGAACAGG
rnacentral:rRNA from 1 species